rnacentral:rRNA from 1 species
AUUGAACGCUGGCGGCAGGCCUAACACAUGCAAGUCGAGCGGAUGAAGGGAGCUUGCUCCUGGAUUCAGCGGCGGACGGGUGAGUAAUGCCUAGGAAUCUGCCUGGUAGUGGGGGAUAACGUCCGGAAACGGGCGCUAAUACCGCAUACGUCCUGAGGGAGAAAGUGGGGGAUCUUCGGACCUCACGCUAUCAGAUGAGCCUAGGUCGGAUUAGCUAGUUGGUGGGGUAAAGGCCUACCAAGGCGACGAUCCGUAACUGGUCUGAGAGGAUGAUCAGUCACACUGGAACUGAGACACGGUCCAGACUCCUACGGGAGGCAGCAGUGGGGAAUAUUGGACAAUGGGCGAAAGCCUGAUCCAGCCAUGCCGCGUGUGUGAAGAAGGCCUUCGGAUUGUAGAGCACUUUAAGUUGGGAGGAAGGGCAGUAAGUUAAUACCUUGCUGUUUUGACGUUACCAACAGAAUAAGCACCGGCUAACUUCGUG